UACCGCGCGGCCCACGCCCUGGCCGGCCGGUCUUGAAAGGGAGUGCGCGCCCGCGCCAACUCGCGCAUGCCCGAGUGAGGGGCUCCGCCCUCUCGAACCGCCCCGCCAAACCGGUUCCAGCUGGAACGCAAUGCGUGGUCUGUACGGGAGUUGGAGUGGCCGUCCGUCCCUGCGGGCUCACCCUGGUGGCGACGCCUCGCUGUAGUGACCUUAGGUUAGAUGCUUAACCUUUCUGUGCCUCUGUAAAAUGUGACAACCGAGUGAGCCCCCUCCCCGCCCACAGACUGACAGUCCAUUUACAGAAGGUUCUGCCAAGCACAGAUCUUUGCUGCCUGGCAAGCCCGCUGGUUGCCUGCUUUCUGUACUGGGAUCUGACAGAGGACUGUGGGAAAUGAAGAAGCAGAUGGUGGCAGAGUGUCAUAAGGGGCAGUGUCCUUUUCUUAACUCGGCACAAAAGUACUACAUGGACCAGCUGCAGCUCUGGCCAGAAGCCUGGCGAUCUGGUGGCUCCGGCUCUCCUAGGUGGCAGAGCUUUGAUGGAGACACACAGGCAUGUGCUUGGUGUGCAGGGGCGUGUUGAGUUAGGAUCAAGAUGUAAAACUCUCAACUACUUCUGCCACACCAUGCCUACCUGCCUGCUGCCACGCUCCCCACCAUGAUGAUCUUGGACUAAGCCUCUGAAACUAAGCCAGCCUCCAGUUCCAUGCUUUCCUUUAUAAGAGUCACCUUGAGCCAGGUGGGGCCAGUGCUGCACGCCUUUAUUCCUAGCACUCAGAGGCAAAGGCAGGUGGACCUCUGUGAGUUUUGAGGCCAAGAUGGUUUAUAGAGCUAGUUUCAGGACAACCAGGACUACACAAAGAAACCCUGUCUCACCCUCCGAUGGGAAACCAAGAGACUUGAGACAAAAUGAGGUUGUCCUCCCAUCCUUCUGCCACCUCCAUGGGGAAAACAUGGCCUGGCUGGGACACUGGCUCCUGAACAGCUUUUGGGCCCAGGGUAUAGGACACAGUGGGCAAAGGCGGCUGAUCGGCAAGCUCAUACCUAAGUGUUUGCUGUUGUCCCCCACUGAGAUGGUACACAAUGUAGAGUGUGACUGCGUAACGACCAAGAGAUAUCACGUUGGCCCCAGGACCAAGCAGGGAGAGAAAGGAUGAGCAAACUCUUAGAGGAGGAUUGGAAAAGGAGCCUGGAUUCUGCGUGGGUCAGGACUCCCAAGGAAAUCCACCUAGAGUGACUUCCCGUGUGCAGAUAGACUUGGGCAAGGCCUGCCUCCUUUGGAUAAGAGCUUAAAGAGAAAAUGCAAAAGAAACAGCCAACCUGUCAGGGACACUCAGGGGAAAUAGGAAGGGCCCAGAAAUGGCUGAGUUGGAAAAUAAAUCUGUCAGUUUGGGAGGCCAGAAGAACGCAUUAGAGCCGCACUUCUUCCAGAGUCAACCUAGACACUCCCCCAGAAAACCUCGAAACUCAGAGGAGGGAGAUACUGCUGCCUUGGGGAGCCCUCUGGGCUCUGUGGUGCUUCUGUGGCUUCAGCCACCACCCACUGCCAGCUACCAGCCACCAACCACAGGACAGGCCCUCCCUACCCUGCCACGCCUCAUCUUGGAGCUCGUGAGCACUAAGUCGGGAAGAAGCCAGGGACAGAACCCGAUUCCCCAAGAAGCCAAGCUUGCUCGACUCCAUCAGUCCUCUAGUCCGGAAUGCUCUCUAGAUCCCCGUCCCUGCUGAGCUCAGGCUCUCGGUCAGACAAGCCACACCCACACUGACCAUCUUCACCAUCUUCAGCGGUUCUCUACUCUGCCCAUCGAGACCUUCCUUCCUUCAGUCUCCUGUAUAAAAAGGAUGUAUCUGCAGCUCUUAGAAAAGCUGCCUCUAAGGUUGCAUUAAGACAGGGAGAGGCCUAACAAGGAUAGUCCUACUCAGUGCUGAGUCUCCACGGUAAGGCAGAGAGAGAAGUGGGGUGCACAGCGGGGCUGUGAACUGAAUGACAAGAGGCUAGGAGCGAGUGGGGCUGAAAAGCCAAGCACUCCGCACGCUCACCACAGGCCAUGGGGCACACAGUCCCCGGCUAGCUCUCUGAGGGGUGAUGUGUGGAAGGGAAGAUGGGUUCUUCGGGCCGCCCGGGCCUUGAUGCUGUUGGAGGUCUCUGGACACCCUCCUUCCUCCUCUUCUGUUGCCACCCCCCAGCCCCCACCCCGAGUCCAGGGACGGAGUGAACGCCACCUCUCUACACGCGCUGUCACUGUUGAUGUCCUGGCACACAACGCUACCUACACCUGACACUUCUACACUCAGGUUCCCUACCCAGUGUGCCCCUCAAACUCCAGACUCACCUAACUGCCUCCUUGGUAACUCACUCCUCAUGCCUGAUAGAGCCCCCCAUCUGUUCCUCCCACCAGCUCAAGUCAGAAAGCAGGGCACGCUGCUCUCUGCUCCUUCCAGUGGGCUCAAUAGCAACAGUCGUGUCUUCACCACGUCCUCCGACUCCUGUCUCUCAACCUCCACAGCCCUGCCUGGGGCUACCCCACACAGGCAAAUCCUGCCCUUAGAACAACAACAAAAACAAAGCAAAACCAGUUAACUGUCAUUUGUUAUUUAUCUUUACUUUAUGUGCCUGUGUAUU
rnacentral:lncRNA from 1 species